CAUCUCAAAGGAGAGAGGACCUGAGAGUAAAAAAAAUAAGAAAGGAGAAAAAGUGAGGACGGGCCUUCUUCGCAGUCUGCAAGGGGCUCAACGUAGCAGUCCUCUGGCUUUCGCUCAUAAGCACCAUGGCCAAGCUUCGUAUCCGCAAACCUAGCUGGAGAUAAACGAAUUGCUUCAGUAUUGUUUUUCUUGUUACUAUAGCUGACACCGAUCUCUCUUGCGUACAGGCCUGGAGAUAUUAGAUUGUUCCCAUGAGCACAAUUGCGCUCUUCGAUAACUCUCUGGCUAAACAUGAUCGGCAAACAUUGUCCUAUAUUUGCUGUUAAUCGCGAGGUAUCUCUGUUUUUGAAUAACUCAAUUUAUGCUUCCAUCUCUUAUUCUAUUUUGGCCGGAGUGGGUGUUGGUAGGUGUUUUGAAUUGUGUUACAUUUGGGUGUAUGAUGUCCAUGGUUUGAUUCCGACAGCAAAACCAAAAGAUUGUGCUGAUCCCUACAAAAUGUAAGAAAUAUGUUCCUUCGGUGUUAUAUUUAGAAGUCUCAGAUAUAGCUUUCGUUGGUAAUUUUUGCAAGCAAAGAACCCUGUUGAUAUCAUUGAAGUAAUUCCACUAUGUUUUAAAUCUAUAUUCUAGCUUAGCUCAAUUUAGCAAGUAAACUUAUUGUUAAAUGAAUCACUUUGGAAAUCUGUUGGGAGGAAUUACGUUUUUGGCGCGGCUUUAUAGUUUGAUUUGGAACUUCAAAAUUAAACAAACUAUGUUUCACUUUCUAGUACUUGCACUCUCAUCUGAAUCUCUAUUUUUAUUUUCAGAUGAUAGGUUUUAAGGCUUAUUUUAACAAUAUGCUUUCAUAUUUGAUUCGAUGUUUGAUUUUGAGUUUCUUUUCAAUCCCAAUUUACAUUGAAAGAAGUCCUUUAUAUUGAGAGGAGCUUAAUUUUUUUUUACCAGGGAGAUAUUAUACUUUGACCAAUUUUUCCAAAUGCACCAAAUAACAGAAAGUAGUAAAAAUAUUUUCAUGAAAUAUAUUUUCUGUGAAACAAAUGGAGCAUAUAUUUCUAUGAAUUAUCCUUAUUUUUGCAGUGAUUUUAGUUUAUUUGUAGUAUUUGAGGUUUGAGGAGUGGACUAUGCAUACAGUAACAUCAAACAGAUAAUCCAUGAAUAACUUGGAUUAUUGAGCCCUUGUGUCAGUUUUUCCUCCGGGACAAUCAUAUUGCCACAGAUAUGUGGAAACUGGAAUGAUCAAUUGGGCUUUGUUCCAGGGUUGAAGCUGACAGUUUGGGUAAAAAUUGUCACUUGUAAUGUUUGAAGUUUUGUGGACCUAUAUUGAUAUCUGUAUAGGACAUAAAUCAUCAAGCUGCCAGUCAUUUGACAACCAAGUGCUUCCCCAGCUAUGUCUUCUAAUUGAUAGAGGGCAUUUUGAAAUUUGAAUUAAGACUUGGUUUCAUUUGCCUUUCUAAUACUACCUUUGCACAUUAAAAUGUCAUCUUAAAUGUCUAUUUUUUUGCAGCCCAUUCGCAAACUACCCAUACAAAUGUUCAAGACUCGUAUAUGGUUUUUACCUCUUAGUUCCUGUUUCGUUAAGGUCUAAUUGAUGAUUUAUCCUUUAUGAAGUGCAGUUCAUUUAUCAUAUUUUUUCUUAGUUACUCAACUGUCCGACAUUAUGUGAUUUGAAUUAGAAGUGAGAACUAUAGUAGUUCAAAAAUGUAAUUAAUUUUUUCUUGAUGACCGGGGACAACAACUAGAGAUAGAUGUUAAUUCUAGAUUCUAUGUGUUUGGGCCAGGUAAUUAUUUCUGCUCAAACUGAAAGUAGCAGGUUCGGAGUUGUGCUGACUAAUAGUUUUAUUAUCCCCUGCUUGCAUGAGUAAAUGCUUUAUGACAAUGAAAUUGAUGUUUAUGCAAUCUGAAGUUAAAACUUGUGCAAAAACAGGGUUGAUGCUGUCUUUCAUUCUCUCAAUCUAUACCUUGCAAUCAUUACAAGGCAAAUUAACGAGCUAGUUUGUUUUUAAGCAGGCUAUUCAGGAGCUCUACACUUUUAGCUUUUUAGGCUAAAAACUAAAGACCGUGAGCUUUUCAAAUAUGCCUAUUCAUGUAGUUUUAUUCUUUUUUGCCUUUCAUAUUUCUCCCUCAUAGUAUGUUUUCCGAUUAUGUUUAUAUUUGUGAGGGGAUCCUUGCAUAAAGCAAUGGUCCUGCUGGAAGAGUGGCAUUCAGAAUUCUCAACACAUUGCAAGCACAAAUAGAGGUUUCUUUACUUCCAAGAAAUUGUCGGCAAGUGAGGCAGCAAUGCAUACACCAUUGUGGGUAGUAGCCAGACAGAAGAAGGUAAUAGAUGGAAAGAAAGAAAUUAUAUGAAGGCGAAGCAUAAUUAUGGUUGGAGCGGCAAACGAAUAGGAAGGAAGAGUGAGGUGGCAGAAGAGAAGUAGGCCACGCAACUAACAGUUUCUUGCUACCCAACUAUUGACAAGGACAGGUGUUGCUGUGAUAGUAGAAGGCAAAAGUCCUAUUUGUCAUAACAUGAGUAGGUAACUGCACCUAUAUUUGCUCUAUUGCCUGAAUAUAAAAUCCAUUUCUUUUUGGA